AUGAAGCACAGGAUGAUCUUUAUUGUUGUGCUAAUGAUCUAUUUAAUACAGGAAUGCAGGAGUCAGACACUGGUUGAAUCUGAGGCUGUAGUGGUUAAACCAGGAGAAUCUCAUAAACUGACCUGUACCGCUUCUGGUUUUAACUUUGGUGGCUCUUGGAUGGCUUGGAUCAGACAGGCUGCUGGGAAAGGGCCAGAAUGGGUAGCAACACUUUCCAGUGGCAACAGCUAUAUCUAUUAUUCUGACAAGGUUAAGGGAAGAUUUACUAUUUCACGAGAUGAUAACAAGAACCAGCUGUACCUUCAGAUGAACAGUCUUAAAACCGAAGACACUGCUGUUUACUACUGUGCCAGAGACACAGUGAGACAAAAGGAUGUGGUGUUGCACAAAAACAGAAGCAGACAGCUGUACAAAGUGUUCGGUACUCUGCCAAAAUAA